AAAGAUAAAUCGCUUGAACGCAUUGUUAAGUUUAAUUUAGAAGUAUUGCAUCAAUGAUUUCUUUAUUAUUAAAUAGGUAAAGUGUCAUAUCAUUAGAACAGGUAUAUUCAAGAUAAAGAUACUGUUUUUUGCCGAUAAUACUAGCCUAAUAUCAAUACUGGAUGACAAAAAUAUCUUAAUAUACUGUUUAAAUAUUUAAAUGCGUAAUGAGAUUUUUGCUAUUCAAGCUGUAUUCUAUUUUUGAAAUAAGUUGAAAGGAAUCGAAAUAUAGCCUUGAACAACAUAAAAAAAAAAACAGGAAGUUUGUAUAUUUCAUAGUAACACAGUAGCUCUCUAACUUGUAAAAUGGAGAAUAUUUGUCGUCACGGGUAAAAAAAAGCUGCUUCGAUUUGCAUAAAUUAUAAUCAGAUAAUAGAAUAAAUAAAAAAUUAUAAAUAUAUUCAAGGAUCUUUGCACAAGUUUGAUUUUCAUUUUUAUUCACUUUGCAAUUUAAUUCCGGAAUGGAGAAAAAGUAUUUAAAAAUUUCCGCAAAAGAUAAAAAGGUUAAUGCAAAAGUUCGCCUUUGCACGAAUAAUGAUUGUGAAGAUAACGAUGGUGAAUUAUUUGUAAACGACAUGGAAAUAGUGCAAAAGAAAGAAACAUAAAGUAAUGUUAUGAAAUUGUUUGCAGGGAAUGGCCUUAUGUUGAUCACGCAAACAAACAAUUAUUCUUUCAUUCAAAAUGAAAUGAAUGCUUCAAUUUUAGAACUUCUUAUUAAAACAAUUACAAAAAAUUCGAGACGUAUAUAUUUAAAAACGUUUGUAUUGCCAUUUAUUGAUAUGUACAGUACAACUAAAAACUUUCGAGUGUUUUCAUAAAAAUCGACCAAGAACAAAACCAUAAAGCAACUAGUAAACUUCUCCGGAAGAAUUUCAAAAGGAAAACGUUUUCUUAGAUCUGGGAGUAAAAAAUAAGACAUUUGAUAAUGGACAUAAUAGAAAAAAUAAAUGGCUUAAUGGAUUUCAGUAAACUUUGCUUAAUGAUUCAUUUUCAGUGUUUUUUCAGUUCUAAAAUUUAUCAAAUACUGCUAAUUUUUUUAAUUUUUUGCGUUUUAAAAAGUAAUUUGUUUUAAAUAUUUUAUUCUAAAUACAUCUAAAAUUUUUAGAUCUAAUAAUAAACUCAAACUAGGCAAUUUAAAAA